GUAUGACAGGCAGGUGUUUCUCUAUGAGAUCAACGAGAAUAUCACCUGCAAGCUAUGUAAGGGAUACCUCAUCGAUGCCACCACCAUAACAGAAUGUUUACAUACCUUUUGUAAAAGUUGUCUUGUGAAAUAUCUGGAGGAGAAUAAUA